rnacentral:rRNA from 1 species
UACGGGGGGGGCAAGCGUUGUUCGGAAUUACUGGGCGUAAAGGGCUCGUAGGCGGCCAACUAAGUCAGACGUGAAAUCCCUCGGCUCAACCGGGGAACUGCGUCUGAUACUGGAUGGCUCGAGUUUGGGAGAGGGAUGCGGAAUUCCAGGUGUAGCGGUGAAAUGCGUAGAUAUCUGGAGGAACACCGGUGGCGAAGGCGGCAUCCUGGACCAACACUGACGCUGAGGAGCGAAAGCCAGGGGAGCAAACGGG